CGCACCUUGCGCCCUUUGGUAUUCCGAAGGGCAUGCCUGUUUGAGUGUCAUGUGAACUCAACCCCCGAGGUUUCUCGGGUCGGUUGGAUUUGGGCGUCUGCCUCCUGGCUCGCCUUAAAGAUGUUAGCGGGACGCCCGCGGCCUGACGUAAUAAGUUCCGUCUGCGUCCGUCGAGAUAACGCCCCGCUCAUAAUCGCUUCGGCACCUUUUUGACUCUGACCUCAAAUCAGGUAGGACUACCCGCUGAACUUAA
rnacentral:misc_RNA from 1 species